rnacentral:rRNA from 1 species
CUGGCGGCGAGUGGCGAACGGGUGAGUAAUACAUCGGAACGUGCCCUGUCGUGGGGGAUAACUAGUCGAAAGAUUAGCUAAUACCGCAUACGACCUGAGGGUGAAAGCGGGGGACCGCAAGGCCUCGCGCGAUAGGAGCGGCCGAUGUCUGAUUAGCUAGUUGGUGGGGUAAAGGCCUACCAAGGCGACGAUCAGUAGCUGGUCUGAGAGGACGAUCAGCCACACUGGGACUGAGACACGGCCCAGACUCCUACGGGAGGCAGCAGUGGGGAAUUUUGGACAAUGGGGGCAACCCUGAUCCAGCAAUGCCGCGUGUGUGAAGAAGGCCUUCGGGUUGUAAAGCACUUUUGUCCGGAAAGAAAUCCUCUGCCCUAAUACGGCGGGGGGAUGACGGUACCGGAAGAAUAAGCACCGGCUAACUACGUGCCAGCAGCCGCGGUAAUACGUAGGGUGCGAGCGUUAAUCGGAAUUACUGGGCGUAAAGCGUGCGCAGGCGGUUUGAUAAGACAGGCGUGAAAUCCCCGAGCUUAACUUGGGAAUGGCGCUUGUGACUGUCAGGCUAGAGUAUGUCAGAGGGGGGUAGAAUUCCACGUGUAGCAGUGAAAUGCGUAGAGAUGUGGAGGAAUACCGAUGGCGAAGGCAGCCCCCUGGGACGUCACU